UUUGCUGUUUUUUCUAGCUGUUGAGGAUAACUUUUACAAGUACAAUCAGAGGCCUUGAUGCCAAACUAAAUGAAACUUCACAGCAUUAAACUUGUAUGUAUGACAAGAAAAAAAAACAUCUUGCGGUAGUUAGUCACAAGUCUUUAAGCUACUUGUAUAUAUCUGCAACAGGGACAACAAAAGGUUUCAACUAUCUUCAGAAGCAUAAUACUAGUGCUACAGGAUAGAACACCAUUAGACAAGGACAUACUUUUACAGCACAUACAUUUACAAGGUAUACAGACAUGAGAUGAGG
rnacentral:misc_RNA from 1 species